rnacentral:rRNA from 1 species
GAGUUUGAUCUUGGCUCAGAUUGAACGCUGGCGGCAUGCCUUACACAUGCAAGUCGAACGGCAGCAUGAUCUAGCUUGCUAGAUUGAUGGCGAGUGGCGAACGGGUGAGUAAUACAUCGGAACGUGCCCUGUAGUGGGGAUAACUAGUCGAAAGAUUAGCUAAUACCGCAUACGACCUGAGGGUGAAAGUGGGGGACCGCAAGGCCUCAUGCUAUAGGAGCGGCCGAUGUCUGAUUAGCUAGUUGGUGGGGUAAAGGCCCACCAAGGCGACGAUCAGUAGCUGGUCUGAGAGGACGAUCAGCCACACUGGGACAGAGACACGGCCCAGACUCCUACGGGAGGCAGCAGUGGGGAAUUUUGGACAAUGGGCGAAAGCCUGAUCCAGCAAUGCCGCGUGUGUGAAGAAGGCCUCGGUUGUAAGUACGACUUUGUUCCGGUAACGAAAGUAGGACGUC